rnacentral:rRNA from 1 species
GUGCCAGCCCCGCGGUAAUACGGAGGGUGCAAGCGUUAAUCGGAAUUACUGGGCGUAAAGCGCACGCAAGCGGUUUGUUAAGUCAGAUGUGAAAUCCCCGGGCUCAACCUGGGAACUGCAUCUGAUACUGGCAAGCUUGAGUCUCGUAGAGGGGGGUAGAAUUCCAGGUGUAGCGGUGAAAUGCGUAGAGAUCUGGAGGAAUACCGGUGGCGAAGGCGGCCCCCUGGACGAAGACUGACGCUCAGGUGCGAAAGCGUGGGGAGCAAACAGGAUUAGAUACCCUGGUAGUCCACGCCGUAAACGAUGUCGACUUGGAGGUUGUGCCCUUGAGGCGUGGCUUCCGGAGCUAACGCGUUAAGUCGACCGCCUGGGGAGUACGGCCGCAAGGUUAAAACUCAAAUGAAUUGACGGGGGCCCGCACAAGCGGUGGAGCAUGUGGUUUAAUUCGAUGCAACGCGAAGAACCUUACCUGGUCUUGACAUCCACGGAAGUUUUCAGAGAUGAGAAUGUGCCUUCGGGAACCGUGAGACAGGUGCUGCAUGGCUGUCGUCAGCUCGUGUUGUGAAAUGUUGGG